AGUGAACGCUGGCGGUAUGCCUAACACAUGCAAGUCGAACGGCAGCACAGUAAGAGCUUGCUCUUACGGGUGGCGAGUGGCGGACGGGUGAGGAAUACAUCGGAAUCUACUUUUUCGUGGGGGAUAACGUAGGGAAACUUACGCUAAUACCGCAUACGACCUACGGGUGAAAGCAGUGGAUCUUCGGACCUUGCGCGAUUGAUUGAGCCGAUGUCGGAUUAGCUAGUUGGCGGGGUAAAGGCCCACCAAGGCGACGAUCCGUAGCUGGUCUGAGAGGAUGAUCAGCCACACUGGAACUGAGACACGGUCCAGACUCCUACGGGAGGCAGCAGUGGGGAAUAUUGGACAAUGGGCGCAAGCCUGAUCCAGCAAUACCGCGUGGGUGAAGAAGGCCUUCGGGUUUUAAAGCCCUUUUGUUGGGAAAGAAAAGCAGCAGGUUAAUACCCCGCUGUUCUGACGGUACCCAAAGAAUAAGCAACGGCUAACUUCGUG
rnacentral:rRNA from 1 species